rnacentral:rRNA from 1 species
GACGUAGGGUGCGAGCGUUGUCCGGAUUUAUUGGGCGUAAAGAGCUCGUAGGCGGCUCGUCGCGUCGACCGUGAAAACCCGCGGCUUAACUGCGGGCUUGCGGUUGAUACGGGCGGGCUAGAGUUCGGUAGGGGAGACUGGAAUUCCUGGUGUAGCGGUGAAAUGCGCAGAUAUCAGGAGGAACACCGGUGGCGAAGGCGGGUCUCUGGGCCGAUACUGACGCUGAGGCGCGAAAGCCAGGGGAGCGAACGGG